UAGAAGAAUCUUUCCCCAGCAAGAAAGAGCAAGAACAAGAUCCCACGUUUGUCCCCGAGUCCGAAAACGGCUAUGGCUUGUAUGGUCACGAGACCACCUACAACAACAACAACAAAGAAGAGUUCAACAACAACAACAACAAGUACGAUGAAAACUUCAAGGAAGAGUUCAACAACAACAAGUACGACGAAAACGUCAAGGAAGAGUUCAACAACAACAAGUACGAUGAAAACGUUAAGGAAGAGUCAUUCUCUGAGAACAAUGAAGACAAGAGAGGUAUCUACAACUCCAACGCUUACGGAACGGAGCAAGAGCGUGAAACGCCGUACAAAGGUUACAGCCAUAACUUGGAGAGACAAGGCAUGAGUGACACAAGGUUCAUGGAGAAAGGUAACUACUACUAUGACCUUUACAACGACAGAAACCACGGCCAUUUCUACCGGAAGCCUCAUCAGAAAAGCCCUGCCGGUUACUAUUCUUCUCAGGAGACUGGGAAUAACUACGACCAGUCGUACAACAACUACAACAACGAGGAGGAGAAGAGCUUCAAGGAUCAGUACAAUUCCAAGUGGGAGAAGAACAUGAUGAACAAACAGCCUGAAGAGUUUGUUGAGGAGCAAGGAGACCAGUUCAAGCCUUGAUGAAGAAUUGAUGUUUGAUUUCCUCUCAAGAUCAUUACACUCUUAAAAAGUAUUUUCUUUUUAUUUCAACUAAGUUAUUUUACUUCUGGUUGAUUAGUCAAACUAAGUCGUUGUUAUCAUUGCAAGUGAAAAAGGGAAAGGGGGGUUUUGUGUUUUUUUUUUCUUUUAGUUGAAAUGGGUUUGCUUUUUAUGGGAUUUUGAACUUUGAUGUUUGCGUUUGCAUAUAAUAUUCGAAGAAAAGAUAGUAAAAUAUAUGGUGCUGCUUUAUGUUAUUUUCUUAUGUUAAUCACCUUUGGUUAUUUUGUUUAAAAAGAAGUUGAUUAAAGGACUAUGGAUUCAUAAUUUUAAAGGGACAAAACGUGACUGCUUUUCAUGAUUUAUAAUGGGGGACAUGGUGAUGCCCAUUCCCUCUUGCAGAAGUGCAAAAGAAACAUUAAUAAUUACUUGCACACCCAAUCCAAUAUUUAGUUUUAUGAAUACAUUUAUAUAGGAUUAAAAUCUACAUAUUAUAGAUACCAAAAAGAAUCGGUUUGUUCUGAAUGUUAGAUGGGAUGGGUACAUCAACAGUUAUCAACCGGUAUUAAUUACUGGUCCUAAGGGUGUAAAUGUGUAAUCCCAAAUCAUAGACAUACACUAUUGCAUUCGGCCUUUGUACUUACAUAACUUAGCUUUAACUGGAUACUUUGUCUUUUCUUUUUUGAACAAGACAUUGAAUACUUCGUUAGAAAUUAAAUAGGUAGUCCUUAAAUAUAGGAUGCGUUUUGGAUUAAUGGUGUUAUAUGGGUGGAAAAGACAACAGAAACGCCGUGACGAGUAAAAGACAAAGACACUUCAAAGGCACUUAGCAAUGAGAAUCCACCUCUUGACUAGGAAAAGAAGACUCCCAAUACCGUUAAUCACGGCUAACAUAAAGGACAAACUUAGUUCCCCUUUUUCUUUUUUUUUUCCAGGAUCUAUAUAUUUUACUCUAUUUUUUUUCUGAAUAUAUUAGUUGAUUUUUAACCAUAUCAAUAUGUAUGUUAGUAUAUAAAUCAAAUCCAAGAAUAUUGUAUACCAUAUAAUAAACUGUCUUGCUAUAAUUGUUUGCUACUAUAACUAUAUUUUAUUUACGUAUUCAUUCAAAUAUUAUUAAUUAAUCAUGAUAUCAAUUUGUAUUAAGAAAAUUGCAUUAGCUUCUAUUUAUUCUUUUUUAUAAAAAGAGCUUACUUCUACUUCUUUAUUAAUGAUAAAUAACUAACUAAAAGAAUGAUAUGACAUUUUUCUGCUAAUGGGUUUUAUAAUCGUACGAGAAAAAGGGAAUAUAUAACCCAUUUUUUACCUAAAUGUGUUACAAAAAAAAUUAAAAUUGCUGACAUAAGUUUCUUUCUGGGAUGUAAGAGAAACCUUAGAUGAAUCAUAGGUUUUGAGAAAACUUCUUAAACUAAUGCCAUUUGCAACACAAUUUAUUCGUAUAUAAAAUUACAUAAUGCUCAAUCCGUGAUGUAUUGGUCUAACUAUUGGCACCCUCAAGAAAGGCUUAUAGAUGUAACAUAGGCUUUGAACAUAUAAAAAAUUGGUAUAUAAAGAAAUUAAAAUUGUUUGAAGUAUUUGUGGACUUGGAAUAUCAUAACCUCCAUUAUAGAAUCUAAUAUAUUAAAACUGAAGUACAUUUGGAGAAUCACCCUUAUUUCAUCUUAGUAUUUAUCAACUUGUGCCACUGAAAUUUAAACCAUUAUUUGUUUAUUUUAUUAAAGACGUUUUUAAUUUUUAUCAAAAACAAUGAUUAGUUUGUUAUGCAAUUAAUACUCCAAUAUUAAUAAGACUUUCCCUAAAAGUAGACAAUCAGUUAAGAAAAAGAUCCCGUAAAUGAUACUAACAUUUAAUAGUUUAUAACCAUAAUUUACAUGCAACCGAUUUUAGAUAUUACCUUACACUUAUUCUCCAUUAGUGCAUCUCACGUAUGUAUCUACAUAAUAUAAACUUCUGAGGUAAAUCAAAUUGAUUGUAUUAUUCAUUAAAAAUAGAUCAUCAAUUAAUUGAAAUUAAUUAUCAUAUUUCACUCUUGCCAUCUAAUAUAAUCAAAUUUGUCGAUUGAAUAGCAUAUAUUAUGUAACACACCGUCUUUAUUCAUUCUGAUAGUUAGUGAUUUGUGUAUCAGUUAGAUUCUGUUAAAGGGCUCUGCUUGGUGGUUCGUUCGUUCACCUUCUUAUGUUUGGUUGCUCAAUAUAAAUCAUAGAAACAAAAAAAGAUCGUCAUAUCUCCUUACCUUUGAUAAUUUGUGUAUUUCCAAAUUCUAUUUACGCAUUGCAGAUAAUCUAAUUUGGGAUUUUGUAUUACUUUUACCAUUGAUUAUAUGCUAUUGCGAUGGACCUAAAUUCUUCACCCCAGCAUGAAGAAGACGAUAGUCCUUCUAUUAACAGACGCUUUGAACCCCAAGUUGAGUCUACUGUUAACAAAUAAUCUAACUAAACUGUAUUCGGAUAUUGUAAAUAUUUGGAUGGAAUUCGGAUUCAGAUCUUUCUGGGUCCAAAUAAAUUUGUAGAAACCUAAAAAUAGGAUAACUUAUGUGUUUAAAAUUUUCUUUAAACAAUUUAUAAAAAAUGUGAAAAUUAACAACCGCACAGACGUGCGGAUCAAGUUCUAGUUAUGUAAUUAAAUUGGAGAAGCUAUGAGUAACAUGAGGAAUUAGAAAUCUAAAUAAAAUGUUUGUAAUGAGAUUAGACAAAGAUCAUGUUCCAGAGUCAACAUGCAUUUAUUUGGAGUGAAAGGGCAUAUGAUUUCUCGUUGUGGACGAGAAAAAUGACUAGUUAAAAAGAUUGCGAGGUGGACGUUAGAAAAUUAAUCUGAAAAAAAAAAUUGAAUAUGGAUCUAGAGAAGUUUCUAUGGCAUGUUAAUAAUGGUUAUAAGAAAAGGAAAUUUUGCACUCCCAAUUGUUGGAUCAUUUGGAAUUCAAGCUAGAGAUUCGUUAGAUCAAGAAAUUGCAAAUGUUUUUUUAUAGGACAUAUACCAUUUAAUUUUUUAAGAAAUCCAAGCUAUCAUUGGUCCAAAAAACGACAUAUUUGGACCUGCACUUUUAUCUAGUGCGACGAUUCGUACCCGCACAUUAGAAGUUUAGAACUAUGCGCUUAUAUACUUUCACUAUGGUUUCAUCAAAUAUGCAUAUCUGAAAUAUAGAAAAGGUUGUUAAUUCAUAGCAAACAGUGUUAUCUACCUGUUACAGAUGAUGACUGGACUGUUGAGUCAGCAACGAGGAUAGAAAACAACAUUGUUUAAGAAUGGGUUUGUGGGCAAAAAAAAAUUAACCCUAAAUGACUUCGUUUUAGAUUAGAGCUUAAGAUAUCUGUUUCUUCUUCCUUUCUCUUCUCUGGCAGAGUCAAGGUUCAAAGUAAAAACUUUAGUUCUCUAAAAUACGAAGCUUUUACACACAAUCAUGAAUGAGGCUUAUAGGAAUCACAAUUUGAAAGAAAAAUAUUAGUUAUUGUAUCUAGGCUCUCUGAUUUCCCUUAAAAGGAAGUAAAUUCUAGAAUUAGAGUUUUCAAAAUUCAGAGGUUUUUCAGACAUUAUUUUUCAUCAGUUCCAUAAAUCCUAAUCAAUGACCCUUCUCCACACCUACAUGUACUUGGCAUCCCUCUGUCCUUUUCACAUUUGUGUCUCCAAUUUCCUGCAACAUUCAAAGAAUCAAAGGCAGAGCGGAAGAAAAUAAGAAAAGAAACUAACGAGAAUUUGGGCACUUUAACCUAUGAAUUAAUUUUUCAAUCGAUACAGAGGAGGAGUUUGGGUUUGAUGAAGAAGCUAUUGAUUUGCGGUCGAAAACCUAAAACCUUUGAGUCUGUCGCGGGGGAAGAGAAAGGAAGAAGAAACAGAAAUUUUAAGCUUUACUCUAAAAUAAAGCCGUCUUGAGUUAUUUUUCUUUUUGCCCACAAACCCAUUCUUAAACGACGUCGUUCUCUAACAACAACAACAAAGAAGAGUUCAACAACAACAACAACAAGUACGAUGAAAAAUUCAACGGUGAGACUUUCUCAACUCCAAGCCUGAGCGAGACCGAAGAGUCUUACAACAACUACGAGGAGAACUACCCGAAGAAGACCGAGAGCUACGACAACAACCGUUACAACAACGAAGAGUUCAACAACAAGUACGAUGAAAACUUCAAGGAAGAGUUCAACAACAACAAGUACGACGAAAACGUCAAGGAAGAGUUCAACAACAACAAGUACGACGAAAACUUCAAGGAAGAGUUCAACAACAACAAGUACGAUGAAAACGUCAAGGAAGAGUUCAACAACAACAAGUACGAUGAAAACGUUAAGGAAGAGUCAUUCUCUGAGAACAAUGAAGACAAGAGAGGUAUCUACAACUCCAACGCUUACGGAACGGAGCAAGAGCGUGAAACGCCGUACAAAGGUUACAGCCAUAACUUGGAGAGACAAGGCAUGAGUGACACAAGGUUCAUGGAGAAAGGUAACUACUACUAUGAC
rnacentral:lncRNA from 1 species